rnacentral:rRNA from 1 species
GAUGAACGCUGGCGGCGUGCCUAAUACAUGCAAGUCGAGCGAACAGACGAGGAGCUUGCUCCUCUGACGUUAGCGGCGGACGGGUGAGUAACACGUGGAUAACCUACCUAUAAGACUGGGAUAACUUCGGGAAACCGGAGCUAAUACCGGAUAAUAUAUUGACCCGCAUGGUUCAAUAGUGAAAGACGGUUUUGCUGUCACUUAUAGAUGGAUCCGCGCCGCAUUAGCUAGUUGGUAAGGUAACGGCUUACCAAGGCAACGAUGCGUAGCCGACCUGAGAGGGUGAUCGGCCACCCUGGAACUGAGACACGGUCCAGACUCCUACGGGAGGCAGCAGUAGGGAAUCUUCCGCAAUGGGCGAAAGCCUGACGGAGCAACGCCGCGUGAGUGAUGAAGGUCUUCGGAUCGUAAAACUCUGUUAUUAGGGAAGAACAAAUGUGUAAGUAACUAUGCACGUCUUGACGGUACCUAAUCAGAAAGCCACGGCUAACUACGUG